ACAUGCAAGUCGAGCGAAUGGAUUAAGAGCUUGCUCUUAUGAAGUUAGCGGCGGACGGGUGAGUAACACGUGGGUAACCUGCCCAUAAGACUGGGAUAACUCCGGGAAACCGGGGCUAAUACCGGAUAACAUUUUGAACCGCAUGGUUCGAAAUUGAAAGGCGGCUUCGGCUGUCACUUAUGGAUGGACCCGCGUCGCAUUAGCUAGUUGGUGAGGUAACGGCUCACCAAGGCAACGAUGCGUAGCCGACCUGAGAGGGUGAUCGGCCACACUGGGACUGAGACACGGCCCAGACUCCUACGGGAGGCAGCAGUAGGGAAUCUUCCGCAAUGGACGAAAGUCUGACGGAGCAACGCCGCGUGAGUGAUGAAGGCUUUCGGGUCGUAAAACUCUGUUGUUAGGGAAGAACAAGUGCUAGUUGAAUAAGCUGGCACCUUGACGGUACCUAACCAGAAAGCCACGGCUAACUACGUGCCAGCAGCCGCGGUAAUACGUAGGUGGCAAGCGUUAUCCGGAAUUAUUGGGCGUAAAGCGCGCGCAGGUGGUUUCUUAAGUCUGAUGUGAAAGCCCACGGCUCAACCGUGGAGGGUCAUUGGAAACUGGGAGACUUGAGUGCAGAAGAGGAAAGUGGAAUUCCAUGUGUAGCGGUGAAAUGCGUAGAGAUAUGGAGGAACACCAGUGGCGAAGGCGACUUUCUGGUCUGUAACUGACACUGAGGCGCGAAAGCGUG
rnacentral:rRNA from 1 species